UAGUUAUUAAAUUUUCAAUUUGUUGUAGGAUUUUCAACAUGUUCAAGAUUUAAGAUUUGGUUAGGUUUUGCUUAGGGUUGGUUUAAGAUUUGGUUAGGAUUUAGAGUUUUAUUAGAAUUUGAUUAGGAUUUGAUUAAGGUUCAUUAGGAUUUUAUUUAGGAUUUUGAUUAAGAUUUGAUUAGAGUUUAAUUUAGGAUUUGAUUAAGAUUUAUUAGGAUU
rnacentral:lncRNA from 1 species